rnacentral:rRNA from 1 species
GAUGAACGCUGGCGGCGUGCCUAAUACAUGCAAGUCGAGCGAACGGACGAGAAACUUGCUUCUCUGAUGUUAGCGGCGGACGGGUGAGUAACACGUGGAUAACCUACCUAUAAGACUGGGAUAACUUCGGGAAACCGGAGCUAAUACCGGAUAAUAUUUUGAACCGCAUGGUUCAAAAGUGAAAGACGGUCUUGCUGUCACUUAUAGAUGGAUCCGCGCUGCAUUAGCUAGUUGGUAAGGUAACGGCUUACCAAGGCAACGAUGCAUAGCCGACCUGAGAGGAUGAUCGGCCACACUGGAACUGAGACACGGUCCAGACUCCUACGGGAGGCAGCAGUAGGGAAUCUUCCGCAAUGGGCGAAAGCCUGACGGAGCAACGCCGCGUGAGUGAUGAAGGUCUUCGGAUCGUAAAACUCUGUUAUUAGGGAAGAACAUAUGUGUAAGUAACUGUGCACAUCUUGACGGUACCUAAUCAGAAAGCCACGGCUAACUACGUG